rnacentral:rRNA from 1 species
UACAGAGGUCUCAAGCGUUGUUCGGAUUCAUUGGGCGUCAAGGGUGCGUAGGUGGCGCCGUAAGUCAGGUGUGAAAUUUCGGAGCUUAACUCCGAAACUGCAUUUGAUACUGCGGUGCUUGAGGACUGGAGAGGAGACUGGAAUUCACGGUGUAGCAGUGAAAUGCGUAGAUAUCGUGAGGAAGACCAGUGGCGAAGGCGGGUCUCUGGACAGUUCCUGACACUGAGGCACGAAGGCCAGGGGAGCAAACGGG